UCCUCCGUGGCGCAAUUGGCUAGCGCGUUCGACUGUUAUGUAAGGUACCAAGUGUGCAGCAGGCAAUCGAGAGGUUGACAGUUCAAGCCUGUCCGGGGGAG